AACGAACGCUGGCGGCAUGCCUAACACAUGCAAGUCGAACGAGACCUUCGGGUCUAGUGGCGCACGGGUGCGUAACGCGUGGGAACCUGCCCUUAGGUUCGGAAUAACUCCCCGAAAGGGGUGCUAAUACCGGAUAAUGUCUUCGGACCAAAGAUUUAUCGCCUUUGGUUGGGCCCGCGUUGGAUUAGCUAGUUGGUAGGGUAAAAGCCUACCAAGGCAACGAUCCAUAGCUGGUCUGAGAGGAUGAUCAGCCACACUGGGACUGAGACACGGCCCAGACUCCUACGGGAGGAAGCAGUAGGGAAUCGUGCGCAAUGGGCGAAUGCUGGACGGAGCAACGCGGCGUGAGGGAUGAAGGUCUUCGGAUUGUAAAACGAUGUUAGUAGGGAAGAACAAAUGCGUAAGUAACUAUGCACGUAUUGACGGUACCUAAUCAGAAAGCCCCGGCUAACUACGUG
rnacentral:rRNA from 1 species